AGCAAGAUGGCCGAGUUUGAGGCAGAAGAUUGUAGCUCUUCCCACGGGUUCUCCCCUCUUGUUA
rnacentral:tRNA from 1 species